GUUUGCCUGUGUGUGGAUUGUGUUCAGCACCAAGGACUGGAGAUAUGUUUUGCUAUGUGUGGAUGGUGUUCAGUGCCAAGGACAGAUAUGUUUGGCU
rnacentral:pre_miRNA from 1 species